rnacentral:rRNA from 1 species
AAACAACUCUCAGCAACGGAUAUCUUGGCUCUUGCAACGAUGAAGAACGCAGCGAAAUGCGAUACGUAGUGUGAAUUGCAGAAUUCCGCGAAUCAUCGAAUCUUUGAACGCAAGUUGCGCCCGAGGCUUGACCAAGGGCAUUUCUGCCAGAGCGUCACC